rnacentral:rRNA from 1 species
UCCGGUAGCCUGUAAAUACUUUAAAGGCACCUAACCCCGUCUUGGAAGUUAAUUAGGAUUAGUCCUGAUUAGUACUUGGAUGGGAGACCACCAAUGAAUAUCAGAUGCUAUGGGGU